UGAGUAACCUGCCCUUGACUCUGGGAUAAGCCUGGGAAACCGGGUCUAAUACUGGAUACGACCUUCUGGCGCAUGCCAUGUUGGUGGAAAGCUUUUGUGGUUUUGGAUGGACUCGCGGCCUAUCAGCUUGUUGGUGGGGUAAUGGCCUACCAAGGCGACGACGGGUAGCCGGCCUGAGAGGGUGACCGGCCACGCUGGGACUGAGACACGGCCCAGACCUCCGUACGGGAGGCAG
rnacentral:rRNA from 1 species